rnacentral:rRNA from 1 species
GACGAACGCUGGCGGCGUGCUUAACACAUGCAAGUCGAGCGGAAAGGCCACUUCGGUGGUACUCGAGCGGCGAACGGGUGAGUAACACGUGAGUAAUCUGCCCCUGGCUUUGGGAUAGCCACCGGAAACGGUGAUUAAUACCGGAUACGACCACUUCUCGCAUGGGAUGGUGGUGGAAAGUUUUUUCGGCCAGGGAUGUGCUCGCGGCCUAUCAGCUUGAUGGUGAGGUAAUGGCUCACCAUGGCUUCGACGGGUAGCCGGCCUGAGAGGGUGACCGGUCACAGUGGGACUGCGACACGGCCCAGACUCCUACGGGAGGCAGCAGUGGGGAAUAUUGGACAAUGGGCGGAAGCCUGAUCCAGCAACGCCGCGUGAGGGAUGACGGCCUUCGGGUUGUAAACCUCUUUCAGCAGGGACGAAGCGCAAGUGACGGUACCUGCAGAAGAAGCACCGGCCAACUACGUGCCAGCCGCCGCAGUAA